AUGUCCUCUGGCGGCGGCUCCCGGGGCCUCCUGGCGUGGCUUCUGCUCCUUCAGCCCUGGCCCGGGCAGAACUGGGCGGGCAUGGCGGCGCCACGCCUCCCGUCCCCUCUCCUCUCAGAGGAGGGCGGCGAGAACCCCGAAGCGAGCCCGGCUCCAGGACCUGAAGCGGGCCCCCCACUCAAUCUGUUUACGUCCUUUCCAGGUGACUCACUGCUGUGUGGCCGAACCCCUCUGAGAAUCGUGGGAGGAGUGGACGCGGAGGAAGGGAGGUGGCCCUGGCAGGUGAGCGUGAGGACCAAAGGCAGGCACAUCUGCGGCGGCACCCUGGUCACCGCCACGUGGGUGCUGACGGCAGGCCACUGCAUUUCCAGCCGUUUCCAUUACAGUGUCAAGAUGGGAGAUCGGAGUGUCUAUAAUGAAAACACAAGUGUGGUGGUCUCAGUCCAAAGAGCUUUUGUCCACCCUAAGUUCUCAACAGUUACAACCAUUCGAAAUGACCUUGCCCUUCUCCAGCUCCAACAUCCUGUGAAUUUUACCUCAAACAUCCAGCCUAUCUGCAUCCCUCAGGAGAAUUUCCAGGUGGAAGGUAGGACCAGGUGCUGGGUGACCGGAUGGGGCAAAACACCAGAACGAGAGAAACUUGCAUCAGAAAUUCUUCAGGAUGUGGACCAAUACAUCAUGUGCUAUGAGGAAUGUAAUAAGAUAAUACAGAAGGCCUUGUCAUCUACUAAGGAUGUAAUAAUAAAAGGGAUGGUCUGUGGCUAUAAAGAACAAGGAAAGGAUUCUUGUCAAGGAGAUUCUGGGGGCCGCUUGGCCUGUGAAUAUAAUGACACAUGGGUCCAGGUAGGGAUUGUGAGCUGGGGCAUCGGCUGUGGUCGCUGAGGGUUGCCUGGAGUUUAUACAGAAAUUGGUGUCUACAGUAAGUGGCUGAUUGCAGUGGUGGAUCAGGCUACCUGUUUGUAUCCAGCAGUGUUCCUCAUCUUAGUCCUGCAUUUGGUGCUGCCCCUGGGCAUCCUGGUGGCCCAGUGAUCACCCCAGCCCACUCCCCUUUUGUUUCUGAGUCUCAUACUAGGCCUCUCCUCCAACCUCCCACUCCUUCUCAAUGCCGUUUCUGAAAAUCCCAGUUGGAAUCCACGGGCCCUCUGGAGAUCCAUACAAUAGAGCACAGCAGGGAGACUGGGGCCUGGAAAGUGCCCCUGCCUGGUGCUCUGGUCACCUGCCUCAGCCAUGCCUGCACCAGGGCUGUGCUCUGGCUAGUGGGAAGGAGGGGGUGAACUAAUUCCAGCUAGAGGACCAGCCUCCCUGCCAGGUGGGCCACAGUGACUCAUCAGUAUCUGGGGGAACAUCUAUCAAAGAAGAGACAUCAUCAACAGUGAAGCAAGUGUUAGAUGUGGUUCUGGUUUCAGGGCUCCCACCUAAGACUUUGUGAAACCAGCCAGCUGGGUGAUUGCUCAGCGUGAAGGAGGCGUUACCAGGUCCCUGCAGAGGUGUGAGGCCUGGGACUUCCACUCUAGGCUCAGUUGUCUGGGGCUGGGAGAAGUUCCCCUGCAGCCCAGUGUGGAUCCAUCUGUGAGUGGACAGCCUCUGCCACACUAACUCUCUUGGGGCUACCCAUUCUUGGCACCCCCUUCCUCAGUGCCCUAGUGGCCACUUUCAGAGACACUACAAGUUGUAUUGAGGCAGUUAUGGAGUGCAGAGUUUUCAGAAAUCAACUAAAUAAAUGUUUGGAGAGUCUCCUAUGUUC